rnacentral:rRNA from 1 species
UUCGUAGGCGGGAUAUUAAGUCAGUGGUGAAAUCCUACAGCUUAACUGUAGAACUGCCAUUGAUACUGAUAUUCUUGAAUUCACCUGAAGUAGGCGGAACAUGACAUGUAGCGGUGAAAUGCUUAGAUAUGUCAUAGAACACCGAUUGCGAAGGCAGCUUACUAAAGUGAUAUUGACGCUAAGGAACGAAAGCGUGGGGAGCGAACAGGAUUAGAUACCCUGGUAGUUC